GCGCGGAUGGCGGAAUUGGUAGACGCGCUACUCUCAGGAGGUAGUGUCCGAAAGGACGUGUCAGUUCGACUCUGAUUUCGCGCA
rnacentral:tRNA from 2 species